rnacentral:lncRNA from 1 species
AUGUUUAAUUAAUAAUAAUGAACUUAAACUAUCAAAAUAAUUCCAAGACAUCAAAUAUGUUGUGUCGUUAGCAAAUCAUGUAGCCAUGAUGAUUGUGUGUAAUUGACCUUUAUUGGAUUUUGUGUUCGUUCUGCAAAUUGCAAUAAUCAAAAGGUCUUGGUCAAUAUAUUACAUAUUACCCUUUACUCUCUCCUCCUCCACAUAUAUUGUCAUCUAUCACAAUUUGACAAUACUACCCUUUUUCUGCAAAUACCUAAGAUCCUCUUCUAAUCAUUCCUGAUCUCUAGAAAACCCUAAUAUAACAACCCCCCCCCCCCCCCCCCCCCCUUCAUUCCAAAUUCGAAUAAAAUGGAUUGUUGUGACCUUAACAAAACUCUAGUACCCUCUCUUUUCUCAUAUAUUUCAAGAUUUUAUGCUCAUUUCUACCACCAUUUACCUCAAGAAAACUCUAGCCUUCUUCUUCUCUUGGAAAAUUGAGUAAUGUUCUAAGAUAAAUGAUAGGAAUGCUAGUAAGUCGUGUUGUUCGAGCGAAUUCUUUACACGCGUUUAAAAGGAAAAAAAUAUUUAAACAAUAACGUAACAUAGAGAAAAACAAACUUAGCACAAACCAAUCACAUAAGUUCAAAAAUACAAGAAUAGACUACCCAAAACCCUCAAAGUUAACUAGAAAGCACAAACCAAUCACAUAAGUUCAAAAAUACAAGAAUAAACUACCCAAAACCCUCAAAGUUAACUAAAAAAGAAGUGGCAGCUAGUUUCAUCCUCAUCUUAAUAUAUAAAAAAACAUAUAUAUGAAAGGAGUUUACAUAUACAUAUAUAGUAGAAAAUUUAAAAGUGUCUCUUGCUAUACACAUUUCUCUAAAUUGAAAACACAAAGUAGCGGUAGUUGAUACAAAAGAAGAUGAAGAUGAUGUAGAUGAGGAUAAAAGCAUGAUAGUAAAUCCCAAACAAACCGCUAAAAUAAUCAUAUACCAUUCAUAACACCAUUACGAAAAAGCUAGCUUUGUGUUUGUAUCUUUACCACAGCCACCAUAGGUCACCAUUUCUUGAAAUCCUUUCCUCGGUAUACCAAUCCGUUCAAUCAUCAAUCAAAAAACCAUCAAUCUAACUCUUACCUGUUGGAAAUAGGGUUUGGUCCACUUGGAACUUCAUGAGCAGCCGCUUCAAAUGAUCUUGUAGGCUUUGGAUGUGAUUGAUGACGGGUUCUUUGGUGACGAAAAUCGGUGGUGGUUGUUGGUGAUCUUGAGGAUUCAUCUUGGGAAUUUGAAGAGGUUGCUUGAUGAGUUGGAAGUGAUGCAACUUCCAUGGAACUAGAGGAUUGAAGCAUAGUGAUCAAGAUAGUUAAGAUCAAAAGUGCAACACAUAAAAGAGAAGAACAAGAUCUAGGGUUUGAGAAGAGAGAGAUUUGUGAAGAGGAUCUCAAUUUAGCCAUGCAGUAGUUGAUUGUUUCUGAGAAUAAAAUAUAAUACCACCCCCCAAAAGACCACAAGAGAUCAAUAUCCAUUAACCAAUUGCAUACACCCAAUGACUAAAUCUUGAGCACCACCCCAAGGAGAGAGAGAGAGAGAGA